GACGAACGCUGGCGGCGUGCUUAACACAUGCAAGUCGAACGGAAAGGCCUCUUUUGGGGGGUACUCGAGUGGCGAACGGGUGAGUAACACGCGUGUAACCUGCCCUUCACUCUGGGAUAACUGCAGGAAACCGGGGCUAAUACCGGAUAGGAGCUCCUGCUGCAUGGGGGGGGUUGGAAAGGUUUUGCGGUUGGGGCUUGGCUCGCGGCUACUUAGCUUGUUGUUGGGGUCUUGGCUUACCAAGGCUUUGACGGGUAUGCGGCUGGCGAGGGGGACCGGCCACAUUGGGGCUGAGAUCCGGCCCCGACUCCUACGGGAGGCAGCAGUGGGGAAUAUUGCACAAUGGGUGGAAGCCUGAUGCAGCAGAGCCGGCGGCGGGAUGACGGCCUUCGGGUUGUAAAACGCUUUCGCUCAUGACGGAGCUGUGAGUGACGGUAGUGGGUGAAGAAGCACCGGCUAACUACGUG
rnacentral:rRNA from 1 species